CAGAAGGAACAGCAGACUUCGCUUGUUUUCCAUUUUUCCUUGUGGGAAGGGGGGACAGCCAGUUUCCCCGUGGCAAAGUUUUCCCGGUGUUCGUGUUUUUUUUCCGGCAUGGCCUAAUUUUGUAGUUAAAACCUCCUUCCAGGGAGGGGCCGAGGCUUUUUGCCUGGGGACCUCUCUGGAAGCCGGGUCCACGUCGGUUUGAAACAACUUUUCUCCGUCUCCAGUCAGAGGGUAAGUGAUUUGGCAGUGAUGGAUAGGGAGACUAAGCUUCGGGCUGGACGAUCUUCGUCCUAUACUUAAUCUUUUAAUAAAUAAGGUAGUAUUAUUCCAUCCCUAUUAUUUAUUAUUAUUUGUUUUGGGAAAAAUCGACGUCUGGUUAUAAGCAUGUAUGUAGUGGUUACUGGGAUGUAUACUGUUCCUCAGCGGAGCUGCGGCGACGAGAGAACGGCCAUGUUGUGGUAGCGAUAAUUGUUUGCUGGCUGACUUCACUUUAAUGUGUAUUUAAUGUAUUUAUUUAUUCGUGAAUCUAUUUGUUAACUUAUUUAUUAGUAAUUCAUUGGUUAACCGAUUUAUUAUUAAUUUGUUUAUUAAAUAUUUGUUUAAUUAUUGUUAUCCUAGUAAAUAAAAUCUGUGCUUGAAUGAACUAAUCAUGUCUCUUUUCAGUACAUAAAUUAUACCCUACACUUCCUGUAUAGGGAGAAGACUUGGUCUCGAGUACCAUGCCUACCAACGAGCUACAGUACCAUCCCCCCCCCCCCCCCAAUGUUAUAGGUUAUUUAUUGUUUUGUGUAUAGGUGUAUGCGGGACGUCUGACGGAGUCACGUCACAAGUGGUGUGAGGCUUCGGGUAGUCUCUUGUAGGGUUGUUUGUGCUUUAUUUAUUUUUUUUUCUCUUACCUUUUUCUUUCGAAUUUAAUCAUGUUUUAUUCCAGAGCAGUGGAAGCAGUGUCAUGUGGGAGCACGCAGCGGACGCGUUGCGUUGUGCUUCACGUAUUUUUGUUAGUAAUGUUACUGUUGUUUUGUUUAAAUUUUAUGAAUAAAAAGUUUUUGGUUUAGUUAAGUUAGUCACUCAGUCAGUCAGUCAGUCAGUCAUGAGUUUCUUUUUUUUUUUUUUUUGAUCAGGUCACCUAUCAAGGUUUAUUAAUUUUAAUUACGUAAAUUCUAAUGCCGGUUUAAUGAUUAUUUAAUUAAUUUUGAAAAUUAUCAUAAUUAAAUUUUGGUUAAGAAACUAAGAGUUUGUGUGGAGUUUUGGUUUAGGAACGAUGUUAAAACUUGUGUUAAGUAAUGUUGUAGACAGUGCUUGUUGCGGGCGAGGAAAGUCAUGUGUCGUGGAGUGGUGAGGGGCGCGACGGUCAGCUGUGCGCUGACCUUGAGCGGCGGACGGCCUGGCGCGGUCCGGCUCGGCACGGCGCGGCAAGGCUCGUUCCGGCCCGGUGUUUACCGGCCGGCUGGUCUUCCAAGGAUACAGAUAAGAGUUUCACAGUUAUUUUUUUUUUUAACGAUUAAUUUUAUGUGCGUCAUUGACUACACCACACCGGCUAUUUUUUUUAUGAGUUAAUUUAAUAAUGUUGAGAGUAAUACUUUUAAUAUAAUUUAUUUAUUUGUCAUUAUAAUUAUUUUUGUUUUAAUAAUAAAUAAAAAAAAUUUUUUGAACUUUGCAUUUCAAAAUUGUAGGAGGUACACAGUAGAAUGGAUUAGCUCUUAGGAAAGUGUGAUGUUUGUUUAUUUUUGUAUUUUAAGGGAAUGAACUCCAGGGGAACAGUAAGGUAUAAUUUGUGUUGUCUUUGAGAUGAGAGAGUUGUUGUUAUUGUCCAGCCAGUGGAGCUGAGCUGGGACAAUUUGAGGUGUCCCUGGGAGAGUAGGGACUGUAGCACAGACCCAUAGGAGAUGGGCUGGCUACUGGUUAAGGGUCGGGAGAACCCUGUGUUGUUAGUAGUUGGGGCAGGAGUUCCCCAUGGUAGUACCGAGGUGGCUAUCCCGUAUGGGAUAAGGGUACCACUUCAAUUAAUUUUGUUGGUGGGGUUAGAGUCCCCUGUUGUGUAGUAGGCCUAUAGGAGAUAGGCACUACAGCGAAAUUUUUGGUUGUCCUGGAGGUAAAUUCCCUGGGUUAAGUUAAUGGAAUUGUGUUAAAGUUAGGAAGUAGGGAAAUGUGAAUCAUUGUUGGAGAGUGAGUUAGUGUACCUGCCUACGUAUUAAACUAAAUUUUAUUGAAUUAAUUUAUGAGAAAGCUUAUUGUGUUAAGGAUAAUGGAAGUGAGUUAAUUUUUUUUAAAUUUGUUUUUGAAGUAAAGUAUUUUAAGUAAUAAAGUUAAAUAAUAGAGUGAGUGGUGACAGUUAUGAUAGAGCAUUUUUGAAUUUAUUUUGUUUAUUCUACUUGGAAUGUAAUGUUUUGAUUUGUUCUCUCAACAUAAUUAAAAUUUAAAUAAGUUUUUUUUUACAGUGCCCCUUAUACAUUUGUUGACACAAGUAAUAAAGCAUUUUUAUUUAUUUACAAUUUUAUUUUAAUUACACGAAAAUUUGUAUUUAGAUUUGUGAUACAGAGGAAACAUUUUUUUUUUAAUGAGUUGUUUUGUUUGAGCUUGAUUCUUAUCAGUUUUGUAAAAGUAGUGUUACAGUACUCAGUUCAGUGGUGACCUGUGACUGGAUUCAUGACUAAGAAGACUGAGCAUGGUGUUGCUGGCUGCACAUCAGAGUGAAUCUGAUGGCACCACCAGUAGCCGUUGUUUCGAGGUGUUGCUGUUUUCACCAGACGAGACCAACCAGCUGAUGGCUGCCUACAGCCUAGCAGAUGUUAAGUUUCACUAGGGGAGACAUCCCCGAUGACAUGCUGCGAGGAAGGCAGGCUGAGGGCAGAACUGCUCUGAAGGCUGGAUCCUGGGUGUGAGCUGCAGAUCACACUUCAAGGACUCUUCUCUCCAGCUUCAUCUAGGGCUGAUCCAUCCACGGUUCAUGCCUCUCCUAGUUUUAUGUCGUACGAGUAGUUUUACGAUGUGCCAGCCACCAGCGAUUCUUACAGGAAAGAAUUGUUUCCUGGGCUAUUUACUAAAAUUGUAUUAUGUAUUGGUUUAACUUUCUCAGUUUAGACUUUGAAUUUAAUUGUUGUGGUAAAACCUAACCUUCGUGCGCUGUCUUGUUUGAGUAGGCAUUUAACUUGUAAUUCUUUGCCCCUUGGUUUUAUUCAUUGUCAGGAAUUUUUUUUUGUAUGGCUUGUGGGGCACAAGCCCUUGUAGACAGGAGUAAUGUCGCGGUCUGAAAAUUUCAUUAAUUUUUUUUCUUAAAUUUAUUUUACUUUUGUAUCUUGUUAGGUUAAUGUGUUGGUGUACGUGCGCGUUUCCAGGCUCGGCCGGUUGAUUUCGACACGCGGGUAUUGAAAUAUAGGUUACUGCGAUAGAAGUUUACUGGCACCGCGGCUUUUGCGAAGCUGCGUGGUUUGCGUUUUCUCGCGGGCCGCUGGCCAGGGCUCGCCGAGUGAUUGCACCACGUUGUUCCAAAAAACCCGCUGCGCUACGCUAGUCUCUUGUUUGUCGUUCUGUUUGUUCUGCCACGCGAGGCUUUUGUGUACUCGUUUCGAGGACUCUGUCCUGAUUAGUGUUGCCAUCUUGCGUCCGAGUUUGGAAACGUAGACUGAAAAAAACAAUCGAGCAGCGCAAGAGGGAGAGGGGGAAACUCGCUCGCGCCUGCGCAGAAGGAACAGCAGACUUCGCUUGUUUUCCAUUUUUCCUUGUGGGAAGGGGGGACAGCCAGUUUCCCCGUGGCAAAGUUUUCCCGGUGUUCGUGUUUUUUUUCCGGCAUGGCCUAAUUUUGUAGUUAAAACCUCCUUCCAGGGAGGGGCCGAGGUUUUUUGCCUGGGGACCUCUCUGGAAGCCGGGUCCACGUCGGUUUGAAACAACUUUUCUCCGUCUCCAGUCAGAGGGUAAGUGAUUUGGCAGUGAUGGAUAGGGAGACUAAGCUUCGGGCUGGACGAUCUUCGUCCUAUACUUAAUCUUUUAAGAAAUAAGGUAGUAUUAUUCCAUCCCUAUUAUUUAUUAUUAUUUGUUUUGGGAAAAAUCGACGUCUGGUUAUAAGCAUGUAUGUAGUGGUUACUGGGAUGUAUACUGUUCCUCAGCGGAGCUGCGGCGACGAGAGAACGGCCAUGUUGUGGUAGCGAUAAUUGUUUGCUGGCUGACUUCACUUUAAUAUGUAUUUAAUGUAUUUAUUUAUUCGUGAAUCUAUUUAUUAACUUAUUUAUUAGUAAUUCUUUGGUUAACCGAUCUAUUAUUAAUUUGUUUAUUAAAUAUUUGUUUAAUUAUUGUUAUCCUAGUAAAUAAAAUGUGUGCUUGAAUGAA